UUUCAUCAAAACUCACUCCCAUAAGAAUUUUGAAUAUAAAAAUUGAUCUAGAAUAUACAGAGCUAAAAUGAGCAUAAAUACAUGUGUGCAGCUGUGAUGGUAACAGCAGGUAACAGCCAGUAACAGCUACUGUCGCAAGUUAAUUUUAAAGGUCUUUUUUGGAUUUCCUGAUUAUUCUACAUUGUUCUGAAUGUAAAAUUAUGGUACGACAUGCACCAUUGAUUCAUUCUUCUAUUUGCAUAUAUGGAAAACAUUUCUCUGAAUUUCACUUCGAGCAAGUACCAAUGGAACAUGUAAAUAACCAUCUAUCACUAAAGUUCUUUGCUUUUGGAAAACUGUAACUGCAGGUGGAGCUGAUAGCAACAUGCCUCUAAUGUAUAGUUGACGACUUGAAGUUCUCCGGAAUGUGGAAAGCAUUCUUUACCAGUAGUUUUCAUUUGCAAAUAAUGGAAACCUUAAUUACUGAAAGUGACCAUAAAUAUUAUUUUGUUAAGGAGAUGGAAAACAUCCCUGUAGCACCCAGGAUUCUUUUGUUGCCUCCUACAUGAUCCUUAGAGACUGGAUAAGAUUUCUGAAUGCCAGGUGCAGUGAAGAUACUGGAAAAUCAAAAAUGAAAAUUUUCACCAAAUACCCAGCAAAUCAACUUUCAUGUUCAACAAUCAUCUAGGAGCAAGUGCAUACGAAAAUACAGGCCAGUUUCGAAGACGAUGUUUUCGACACUGUCAAAUACCAAAGUUUGAUAAUUAAUUGUGACGAAACUAUGGUAGCUAAAAACGUCUAUUUAUGCUCAUUUUAAUCUCUGAAUAUUCUAGAUCAACAUUCAUAUACAAAAUUCUUUUGGGAACAAGUUUUUUAUGAAACUACAGUACAUUUUCCAAGACGUUUUUUUCCAUCUGUCAUUUGUGAAAUACCAAACUUUGUUAAUUAAUUAUGA